AGAGUUUGAUCCUGGCUCAGGACGAACGCUGGCGGCGUGCCUAAUACAUGCAAGUCGAGCGGACAGAUGGGAGCUUGCUCCCUGAUGUUAGCGGCGGACGGGUGAGUAACACGUGGGUAACCUGCCUGUAAGACUGGGAUAACUCCGGGAAACCGGGGCUAAUACCGGAUGCUUGUUUGAACCGCAUGGUUCAAACAUAAAAGGUGGCUUCGGCUACCACUUACAGAUGGACCCGCGGCGCAUUAGCUAGUUGGUGAGGUAAUGGCUCACCAAGGCAACGAUGCGUAGCCGACCUGAGAGGGUGAUCGGCCACACUGGGACUGAGACACGGCCCAGACUCCUACGGGAGGCAGCAGUAGGGAAUCUUCCGCAAUGGACGAAAGUCUGACGGAGCAACGCCGCGUGAGUGAUGAAGGUUUUCGGAUCGUAAAGCUCUGUUGUUAGGGAAGAACAAGUACCGUUCGAAUAGGGCGGUACCUUGACGGUACCUAACCAGAAAGCCACGGCUAACUACGUGCCAGCAGCCGCGGUAAUACGUAGGUGGCAAGCGUUGUCCGGAAUUAUUGGGCGUAAAGGGCUCGCAGGCGGUUUCUUAAGUCUGAUGUGAAAGCCCCCGGCUCAACCGGGGAGGGUCAUUGGAAACU
rnacentral:rRNA from 1 species